rnacentral:rRNA from 1 species
GACGAACGCUGGCGGCGUGCUUAACACAUGCAAGUCGAACGGAAAGGCCCUGCUUUUGUGGGGUGCUCGAGUGGCGAACGGGUGAGUAACACGUGAGUAACCUGCCCUUGACUUUGGGAUAACUUCAGGAAACUGGGGCUAAUGCCGGAUAGGAGCUCCUGCUGCAUGGUGGGGGUUGGAAAGUUUCGGCGGUUGGGGAUGGACUCGCGGCUUAUCAGCUUGUUGGUGGGGUAGUGGCUUACCAAGGCUUUGACGGGUAGCCGGCCUGAGAGGGUGACCGGCCACAUUGGGACUGAGAUACGGCCCAGACUCCUACGGGAGGCAGCAGUGGGGAAUAUUGCACAAUGGGCUGAAGCCUGAUGCAGCAACGCCGCGUGCGGGAUGACGGCCUUCGGGUUGUAAACCGCUUUCGCCUGUGACGAAGCGUGAGUGACGGUAAUGGGUAAAGAAGCACCGGCUAACUACGUG